GUUUCCGGCUGGUGCCUGAAGUGAGGAGGAUCUUGUGAGGGACCCAACCCUCAACCUGAGAAGUCUGUGCUCAAAGUCUGAAUAAAGUCAGAAUUGUAUUGAAGUGUUUAAGAUAAAUAAGGAGCAGAAAAAAGGCAAAAUUGUGUUUGGAAAACAUCAAGAGGGAAGACCACAUUUGGGGGACUACAGGAACCAAAAUACGGAGUUUGAAUGUUUUUCCUAAGCACAAUGGAACCUGUGGAAGAUUUUUAGCAGAGCAGUUGGCUUUGAUGAACAAUGAACUGUUACUUGAUUUUACUCUUGGUUCAAGGACAUCCACAAGUGCUGUCAAAUUGAAAGCACACAAGUCACCUUCCUAAAGAGGUAAGUGGUUUUCCUUCCUCUCUCUCCUGGACAGAGGUCAAUUUCUGUUCAGAUUGGUUUGUUUAUUCCAUGAGAAUAUGGUAUUUAAAACACAUAAUUAAAAUGUACAGUUUGAAAAGUUUGGACAUAUGUAUACACUUGUUUAACCAUCACCAGUCAUUAUAAUGAGCACAUCCUUUAUCCUCAGAAGUUUUCUCAUGCCGUUUGCAAUGGAUUCCUUUCCUCCUGUCUCUACACUCCAGCCCCAGGCAACCAACGAUCUGCUUUGUCACUGUGGAUUAGUUUGUUUGAUUUAGCAUUUUAUAUCAAAGAAAUCAUAGAGUCUGUAUCUUUUUUUGUCUUGCUUCUUUCACUCAGCAUAAUUAUUUUGAGAUUUAUUGUGUUGUAGCAUGAAUAAGUAGUUAAUUUAUAUCUACUGGUGUGAAGUAUUCUAUUGCAUGGAAACAACACAAUUUAUGUAUCUAUUCACACAUUGAUGUACUUGGCAAGUAAAGUUGCUAUGUGGUGUUAUAAUUUGCAUUUUCCUAGUGAAUAAUGAUGUUCAGCAUCUUUUCAUAGAUUAGUUGGUCAUCCAGCUACUUUGGGGAAGUAUCUGCUCAAAUAUUUUGAUUAUUUUAAAAAAUUGGAUUGUUUGAUUUUUAGUAAGUUUCAGUAAACAUUUGAGUUUUUAGAAUUGUUUAUGCAUUUGGUAUACAGGCCCUUUGUGAGAUAUGUGAUGUGCAAAUAUUUUCUCCCAGUCUGUGGCUUGUCUUUUCAUUCUCUUUCAAUGACUUUCAAAGUGUUAUUUUUAAUUGUAAUGAAGUCCAACUCAUUAAUUUUUUUGUUAUGGUUUGUGUUUUCAUUGACAUAUCAAUAAAAUCUUUGCCUAAUUUCAUGCCAUAAAGAUAUUUUUCCUGUAUUUUCUCCCUGAAGAUAUAUAGUAUUUUGUUUUACAUUUAGGUCUAUUACUCAUGUUGAUCCAAUUUGAGUUAAUUUCUGUAUAUGGUAUGAGGUAUUAAGAGAGUUCAUUUUUUACAUGAAUAUUCAAUAACUAUAGCACUAUUCAUUCAAAAGAUUAUCCUGUGUGCACUGAAUUGCUUUAUAAAAACUCAGUUGUUCAUAUAUUUAUAUGUCUGUUUCUAGACUCUUAGUUGUUUCAUUUAUCUGUCUGUCUUUACACAAGUGCCACACUCUAUGAUUAAUGUAGUUUUAUAAUAAGCCUUGAACCUAGGUAGCAUUAUUCCUGUAACUUUAUUUUUCAAAGUUGUUAUGACUCUUUAUAUAAGCUUUAUAAAUGGCUUUUUGAAUUUCCAUAUGAAUUUUGAAAGUGGUCUGUCAUUUCUAUUAAAAAGAAGACAAAAACCCCUGGGAAUUUUAUUAAGAUUGCAUUAAAUCUAUAGGUCAAUUUAAGAAGAAUUGACAUUUUAAAACUAUUAAGAUUUCUAAUUCAUGCACAUAGUAUCUCUUUGCUUAUCUAAGACAUAAUUUUUUCAACGUUUUGUAGUUUUCAGUGUAUUAGUCCUUUACAUGUUUCCAGAAAUUUUUCCUGUUUCACUUAUUUCUAGUUUCUAAAGGUAGAAGUUGAGAUAAUUGAUUUCAGAUCUUAUUUCUUUUCUAAUGCAGAUCUUUCACACUAUAAAUUACUGAUUUAGUGGCAUGCAUAAAUUUCAGUAUGCUGCAUUUUUAUUUUUAUUUAAAAAUUAUUUGUAAUUUAUUUUUUAUUCUUCCUUUGACUCCCUCACCGUUCAGUUUUUAGAAGUACUUUAGCUAGUUCUCUCUCUCUCAAUUUUAUUUAAUUUCAUUGUGAUCAAAAAAUAUACUUUGAAUAACAAAUUUUUUUAAGUUUAUAAAGAUUUAUUUUCUGGUUAAGAAUAUAGUCUAUUUUGGUGACUAAUUCAUGAGCCCCUGAAAAUAAGGCAUAUUUUCAGUUUUAAAUAAAGUGCUAAAUGCCAGUUAUGUCAAUUUGGUCUCCUAAAUGCCAAUUAUGUCAAUUUGGUUUAUGAUAUUGUUUGGCUGUUCUCUCAUGUAUCUUUAUUGACUCUCUAUCUACUUAUCAAUUAUUGACACAGGAGUAUUUAAAUUGCCAACUAUAAUUAUGGAUUUAUCAAUUUCUCCUUCCAGUUCUAUCAGUUUAUACUUUAUGUAUUUUGAAAUUUUGUUGAAUUCUAGGUGGUAAAGCCCAUUAUCACUCAAAUUACGAUCAAAUGACCCAGUUUCUUGGGAAUGCUAACAUUCUUGAAUUUACAUUUUCUAUUGCUAUGCCUCCAAAUUAAUCGCCCCAUAUAAAGAGAUGCUUAGGCUGAGAGUAUGCCCAGGAUGGAAAGAGGAGACAAACACACGAAGUACCCAAUAGCAUUGUCUUCAAAGGACAGGCUCUGAUAGCCGCUGGAGGUGGCAUUGAAGAUUUAAUUUGGAAAGAUGUCAAGAAAACAAAGGAUUUCUCUCUGACCUCCUUUCCCCAAUGGAAAAGAUGAUAUCACUUCGAAGUUUCUUCUAAAACAAAGAAUAACUUUUCAAAAGUUUCCUUUGAAAUUGGAGUCAGUAAAGCUGAACAAAAAUAUCAUAAACACACCUAAUCUUUGUCCACUUCCCAAGCCUGUCCCAAUUUCUGAUGAAUGCUACACUCAGAACCAUUUCUCAUAUAAAGAGAACAUUUGCUAUUUAUUGGAAAAAGUUCCAUUUUUUUGACAAUGUACUGUAAUUCCUUGGGAGUAGGCUCCUAAAUUGUCAAUCUUGGCAUAUGAAAAAUUCAAACGAAUUAACAAUAAAAUUGUUAUAUUAGUCUGUUCUCACACUGCUGUGAAGAAACAUCAGAGACUGGGUAACUUAGAAAGGAAAGAGGUUUACAUGACUCACAGUUCUGCGUUGCUGGGGAGGCCUCAGAAACUUACAAUAAUGGCAGAAGGCAAAACAGAAGCAGGCACCUUACUCACAGUGCAGCAGGAUGGAAUAAGUGCAAGCAAGGGAUACGCUGGAUGCUUAUAAAACCAUCAGAUCUCCUGAGAACUCACUCACUAUCAUGAGAACAGCAUGGGGGAACCGCCACCAUCAUCCAAUUACCUCCACCUGUUCCCGCCCUUGACACAUGGAGAUUAUGGGGAUUACAAAUCAAGGGUAAGCCAUGGCGUUUCAUCAAUUAACAAUAAAGGAAGAAAGCAGGCCUAAAGCCUAUGAUGGAAAAAGAAAAUGGCAGAAGAGAUUGUGAACUUAAGUAAAGUAUUGUAGGUUCAGGAGUACAUGUGCAGAAUGUGCAGUGUUGUUACAUAGAUAAAUGUGUGUCAUGAUGGUUUGCUGCACGGAUCAUCUCAUCACCCAGGUAUUAAGCCCAGCAUCCAUUAGCUAUUCUUUCUUAUGCUCUCCCUUCUAAAAAGUGUUCUACCCUUCACCUUAAAAAAUGCCCCAGUGUGUGUUCUCCACCCCCAUCAUGUGUGCAUGUGUUCUCAUAAUUCAGCUCCCACUUAUAAGAGAGAGCAUGCAGCAUUUGGUUUUCUUUUCCUGCAUUAAUUUGCUGAUAAUAAUGGCUUCCAUGACCUUGCAAAGGACAUGAUUUUGUUCCUUUUUAUGGCUGCAUAGUAUGUAUAUGUACCACAUUUCCUUUAUCCAGUCUAUCAUUUGAUGGGCAUUUAGGUUGAUUCCAUCUCUUUGCAAUUGUGAAGAGUGCUGCAAUAAAUAUACACAUGCAUGUAUCUUUAUAAUAAAAAGAUUUAUAUUCCUUUGGUUAUAUAUCCAGUAAUUGGGAUUGCUGGGUCGAAUCGUAUUUCUGCCUCUAGGUCUUUGAGGAAUGGCCACACUGUCUUCUACAAUGGUUGAGCUAAUUUACACUCCCACCAAUAGUGCAUAAGUAUUCCCUUUUCUCGGCAACCUCACCAUCAUCUGCUAUUAUUUUUUUUGACUUUUUAGUAAUAGCCAUUCUAACUGGUGUUAGAUGGUAUCUGAUUAUGGUUUUGAUUUGCAUUUCACUAAUAAUCAGUGAUGUUGAGCUUUUCUUCAUGUAUUUGCUGGCCACAUGUAUGUCCUCUUUUGAGAAGUGUCUGUUCAUGUCCUUUGCCCACUUUUUAAUGUGGUUGUUUGGUGGUUUUUUUCUUGUAAAUUGUUUAAGCUUCAUGUAGAUGCUGGAUAUUAGACCUUUAUCAGGUGGAUAGAGUGCAAAAAUUUUCUUCCGCUCUUUACAUUGUCUGUUUCCUCUGUUGAUAGUUUCUUUUGCUGUGCAGAAACUCUUUUGUUUAAUUAAAUCCCAUUUGUCAAUUUUUGCUUUUGUUCCAAUUGCUUUUGGCAUCUUCGUCAUGAAAUCUUUGCCUGUGCCUAUAUCCUGAAUAGAAUUGCCUUUGUUUUCUUAUAGGGUUUUUAUAGUUUUGGGUUUUACAUUGAAGUCUUUAAACCAUAUUGAGUUAAUUUCUGUAUAAGUUGUAAGGAAUGGGUCCUGUUUCAAUUUUCUGCAUAUAGCUAGGCAGUUCUUUCUGUACCAUUUAUUAAACAGGGAAUCUUUUCCCCAUUGCUUGUUUUUGUCAGAUUUGUCAAAGAUCAGAUGGUUGUCAGUGUGUAGUCUUAUUUCUGCGUUCUCUAUUCUGUUCCAUUGAUCUGUGUGUCUGUUCUUGUACCAGUAUCAUGCUGUUUUGAUUACUGUAGCCCUGUAGUAUAGUUUGAAUUCAGAUAGCAUGAUGCCUUCAGCUUCGUUCUUUUUGCUUAGAAUAGCCUUGGCUAUUUGGGCUCUUUUUUUGUUUUCAUAGGUAUUAUAAAACAGUUUUUUCUAAUUCUAUGAGGAAUGUCAAUGGUAGUUUAACAGGAACAGCACUGAAUCUAUAAAUUACUUCAGGCAGUAUGGCCAUUUUCACAAUAUUGAUUCUUCCUAUUCAUGAACGUGAACUUUUUUGUGUUUACUUUUGUCAUCCCUGACUCCUCUGAGCAGAGCUUUGUAGUUACCUUGUAGAGAUAUUUCACAUCCUUUGUUAGCUGUAUUCCUAUGUGUUUUAUUCUGUUUGUGAUGAUUGUGAUUGGGAGUUCAUUUGUGAUUUGACUCUCAACUUGACUCUUGUUGGUGUACAGGAAUGCUAACAAUGUUUGC
rnacentral:lncRNA from 1 species